rnacentral:rRNA from 1 species
CGCCUGUUUAACAAAAACAUGUCUUCUUGAUUAAAUAUAUGAAGUCGUACCUGCCCAAUGAUUUAUUUAAUGGCCGCGGUAUUUUGACCGUGCAAAGGUAGCAUAAUAAAUUGUCUAUUAAAUGUGGACUAGAAUGAAAGGUUUAACGAAGUAUAGACUGUCUCUAUUGAGAUUCUAUUAGAAUUUGAAUUUUAAGUUAAAAUGCUUUAAAUUUUAUUGGAGGACGAGAAGACCCUAUAGAGUUUUAUGAUAAUUGACUUAAUUUAUAUUAGAACUUAUUUAUUUAAAUUAAUUCAAGGCUUAUUUUGUUGGGGUGACAGGAAGAUUGAAUUAACUCUUUUUAUUUAUUUUCAUUAAUUAAUGAUAUUUAAUUGAUCCAAUAUUUUUGAUUAUAAGAUUAAAUUACCUUAGGGAUAACAGCGUAAUAUUUUUUGAGAGUUCUUAUCGACAAUAAAGAUUGCGACCUCGAUGUUGGAUUAAA